rnacentral:tRNA from 1 species
GCCCGGAUGGCGGAAUUGGUAGACGCACUAGGUUCAGGUCCUAGCGCCGGCAACGGUGUGGAGGUUCGAGUCCUCUUUCGGGCACCA